rnacentral:rRNA from 1 species
GACGAACGCUGGCGGCUUGCUUAACACUUCCAAUUCGACCGGAAAGCCCCUCCUUUUUUGGGUUCCUCGAUUGCCGAACGGUUGAUUAACCCUUGAUUAACCUCCCCUUUCUUUUGGUUUACCUUCUGGAAACUGGGUCUAUUACCGGAUAUGAUCUCCUCCUCCAUUGUGGGGUUUGGAAAUUUUCGGCGGUUGGGGAUGGACUCGAUGCUUAUCAGUUUUUUGGUGGGGUAGUGGCUUACCAAGGCUUUGCCGGGUAGCCGGCCUGAGAGGGUGACCGGCCACAUUGGGACUGAGAGACGGCCCAGAGUCCUACGGGAGGCAGCAGUGGGGAAUAUUGCACAAUGGGCGGAAGCCUGAUGCAGCAACGCCGCGUGCGGGAUGACGGCCUUCGGGUUGUAAACAGCUUUAGAAUGUGACGAAGCGUGAGUGACGGUAAUGGGUAAAGAAGCACCGGCUAACUACGUG